rnacentral:rRNA from 1 species
AACCUCCGCAAUGUGAGAAAUCGCGACGGGGGGAUCCCAAGUGCCAUUCUUAACGGGAUGGCUUUUCUUAAGUGUAAAAAGCUUUUGGAAUAAGAGCUGGGCAAGACCGGUGCCAGCCGCCGCGGUAACACCGGCAGCUCUAGUGGUAGCUGUUUUUAUUGGGCCUAAAGCGUUCGUAGCCGGUUUGAUAAGUCACUGGUGAAAUCCUGUAGCCUAACUGUGGGAAUUGCUGGUGAUACUGUUGAACUUGAGGUCGGGAGAGGUUAGCGGUACUCCCAGGGUAGAGGUGAAAUUCUGUAAUCCUGGGAGGACCACCUGUGGCGAAGGCGGCUAACUGGAACGAACCUGACGGUGAGGGACGAAGGCUAGGAGCGCGAACCGGAUUAGAUACCCGGGUAGUCCUAGCCGUAAACGAUGCGGACUUGGUGUUGGGAUGGCUUUGAGCCGCUCCGGUGCCGAAGGGAAGCUGUUAAGUCCGCCGCCUGGGAAGUACGGUCGCAAGACUGAAACUUAAAGGAAUU